AUUGAACGCUGGCGGCAUGCCUUACACAUGCAAGUCGAACGGUAACAGGUCUUCGGAUGCUGACGAGUGGCGAACGGGUGAGUAAUACAUCGGAACGUGCCCGAGAGUGGGGGAUAACGAAGCGAAAGCUUUGCUAAUACCGCAUACGAUCUCAGGAUGAAAGCAGGGGACCGCAAGGCCUUGCGCCCACGGAGCGGCCGAUGGCAGAUUAGGUAGUUGGUGGGAUAAAAGCUUACCAAGCCGACGAUCUGUAGCUGGUCUGAGAGGACGACCAGCCACACUGGGACUGAGACACGGCCCAGACUCCUACGGGAGGCAGCAGUGGGGAAUUUUGGACAAUGGGCGCAAGCCUGAUCCAGCCAUGCCGCGUGCAGGAUGAAGGCCUUCGGGUUGUAAACUGCUUUUGUACGGAACGAAAAGACUCUGGUUAAUACCUGGGGUCCAUGACGGUACCGUAAGAAUAAGCACCGGCUAACUACGUGCCAGCCGCCGCAGUAA
rnacentral:rRNA from 1 species